rnacentral:rRNA from 1 species
GUGGCGGACGGGUGAGGAAUACGUAGGGAUCUGCCCUUAAGUGGGGGAUAACCCGGGGAAACCCGGAUUAAUACCGCAUGAUCUCGCAAGAGCAAAGAGGGGGACCGCAAGGCCUCUCGCUUUUGGAGGAACCUACGUCGGAUUAGCUAGUUGGUGAGGUAAUGGCUCACCAAGGCGACGAUCCGUAACUGGUCUGAGAGGAUGAUCAGUCACACCGGAACUGAGACACGGUCCGGACUCCUACGGGAGGCAGCAGUGGGGAAUAUUGGACAAUGGGCGAAAGCCUGAUCCAGCAAUACCGCGUGUGUGAAGAAGGCCUUCGGGUUGUAAAGCACUUUAAGUUGGGAAGAAAAAACUUUACUUAAUACGUGAAGUCUUGACGGUACCGACAGAAUAAGCACCGGCUAACUCUGUGCCAGCAGCCGCGGUAAUACAGAGGGUGCUAGCGUUAAUCGGAUUUACUGGGCGUAAAGCGUGCGUAGGCGGUUUGAUAAGUCGAUUGUGAAAGCCCUGGGCUCAACCUAGGAAUUGCGGUCGAUACUGUCAGACUAGAAAACGGUAGAGGGAGGUGGAACUCCAGGUGUAGCGGUGAAAUGCGUAGAUAUCUGGAAGAACACCGAUGGCGAAGGCAGCCUCCUGGGCCUGUUUUGACGCUGAGGCACGAAAGCGUGGGUAGCAAACAGGAUUAGAUACCCUGGUAGUCCACGCCGUAAACGAUGAGAACUUGACGUUGGU